AUUGAACGCUGGCGGCAGGCCUAACACAUGCAAGUCGAACGGUAACAGGAAGAAGCUUGCUUCUUUGCUGACGAGUGGCGGACGGGUGAGUAAUGUCUGGGAAACUGCCUGAUGGAGGGGGAUAACUACUGGAAACGGUAGAUAAUACAGCAUAACGUCGCAAGACCAAAGAGGGGGACCUUCGGGCCUCUUGCCAUCGGAUGUGCCCAGAUGGGAUUAGCUAGUAGGUGGGGUAACGGCUCACCUAGGCGACGAUCCCUAGCUGGUCUGAGAGGAUGACCGGCCACACUGGAACUGAGACACGGUCCAUACUCCUACGGGAGGCAGCAGUGUGGAAUAUUGCACAAUGGUCGCAAGCCUGAUGCAGCCAUGCCGCGUGUAUGAAGAAGGCCUUCGGGUUGUAAAGUACUUUCAGCGGGUAGGAAGGGAGUAAAGUUAAUACCUUUGCUCAUUGACGUUACCCGCAGAAGAAGCACCGGCUAACUCCGUG
rnacentral:rRNA from 1 species